UGUGGCCAUCUUCAGCUGUGACACUGGAUAUACUCUCAAUGAAGACACCACUAAGAUUUGUGGGAAUGAUGGAAUAUGGAGUGGAUCAGAUCCAGUGUGUCAGCAUAAGUGGAAUGGAAUGUGGACAUUAUUUUUUUGAGUGUACCCUUCUCUACAGGUAUCUGCUUUGACUUACCCUUACUGACCAAUGGGAUGAUCUCCUACAAUGGUGCUGGAUUCACUAACAACAGACCAGUGGACACUGUGGCCAUCUUCAGCUGUGACACUGGAUACACUCUCAAUGAAGACACUACUACCAGAACUUGUGGGAAUGAUGGAACAUGGAGUGGGUUAGAUCCAACAUGUGAAGGUCAUAAUUAUUAGCUGAGUGGUAGUACAUGUACCGUGACUCCUGAGCUUAUUACUACAGCCAUUGAGUGUUCUCCUCUACCGACCAUUACCAAUGGCAUGAUCUCCUACUCUCCUGAUGUCACCUCUGACUAUGACCUGGGAACCGAGGCAACCUACACUUGUGAGGCUGGAUUCUAUCUUGAGGGUAAUGAGGUACGAGUGUGUAUGGAUGAUGAUGGAAUAGACACCAUUGUAGUGUGGAGUGGUCAGGAACCAAGCUGUGUCCGUAAGUUAUCAGUGAAAGUGUGUAGGUACUGUACAACCCGAACAUGCAUGUUUGGUCAUAUGCAAUUAAUUAUCACAGCCAUUAUUUGUCCUCAUCUCCUUGUUCCUACCCACACUUCAAUAUCUUACCUUCCUCGUACCAGUUCCUUUUCUCCUAUGGAACACAAACAACUCCAAUAAUAAAUAUAUUGUCCGCAGGUAUCACAUGUUCUGCUCUCAUUAAUGUUAUGAAUGGGACCAUCAAUUACCUUAGUGGUACUACUGCACCAUAUGACUAUGGAACAACAGCUACUUAUCAAUGCAACUAUGGACAUAUGUUAACAACUGGAGACAGUGAGAGGACCUGUACUGGUGAUAGUAGUACUCCUAGUGGUCAGUGGGAUGGUGCUGCUCCUCAAUGUCCACCUGUGGACUGUGGGACUCCUCUGUCUAUUACCAAUGGAUCUCCUGGGAUACCAACAACCUCAACAUUGGACAGUGACCUACAGCUGUAAUGAUGGCUAUGCACUCUUUGGGAUUGCUACAAGUACUUGUUAGGCAAAUGCAACCUGGAGCAGACCACCAGAAUGCAGAGAGCGUAUAUGCCCAGUGGGAACCUAUCACGAAGAGUUGUCAACUGGAAAGAGUGUGUGUGUGUCUUGCCCUAGAAACACAUUCAGCAUUGUUGAAAAUAGUGUGGAGUGUACCUGUUUUCGCGGCUACUACAGGACAAA